rnacentral:rRNA from 1 species
AGACUGGGAUAACUCCGGGAAACCGGGGCUAAUACCGGAUGGUUGUUUGAACCGCAUGGUUCAAACAUAAAAGGUGGCUUCGGCUACCACUUACAGAUGGACCCGCGGCGCAUUAGCUAGUUGGUGAGGUAACGGCUCACCAAGGCAACGAUGCGUAGCCGACCUGAGAGGGUGAUCGGCCACACUGGGACUGAGACACGGCCCAGAGCAGUAGGGAAUCUUCCGCAAUGGACGAAAGUCUGACGGAGCAACGCCGCGUGAGUGAUGAAGGUUUUCGGAUCGUAAAGCUCUGUUGUUAGGGAAGAACAAGUACCGUUCGAAUAGGGCGGUACCUUGACGGUACCUAACCAGAAAGCCACGGCUAACUACGUGCCAGCAGCCGCGGUAAUACGUAGGUGGCAAGCGUUGUCCGGAAUUAUUGGGCGUAAAGGGCUCGCAGGCGGUUUCUUAAGUCUGAUGUGAAAGCCCCCGGCUCAACCGGGGAGGGUCAUUGGAAACUGGGGAACUUGAGUGCAGAAGAGGAGAGUGGAAUUCCACGUGUAGCGGUGAAAUGCGUAGAGAUGUGGAGGAACACCAGUGGCGAAGGCGACUCUCUGGUCUGUAACUGACGCUGAGGAGCGAAAGCGUGGGGAGCGAACAGGAUUAGAUACCCUGGUAGUCCACGCCGUAAACGAUGAGUGCUAAGUGUUAGGGGGUUUCCGCCCCUUAGUGCUGCAGCUAACGCAUUAAGCACUCCGCCUGGGGAGUACGGUCGCAAGACUGAAACUCAAAGGAAUUGACGGGGGCCCGCACAAGCGGUGGAGCAUGUGGUUUAAUUCGAAGCAACGCGAAGAACCUUACCAGGUCUUGACAUCCUCUGACAAUCCUAGAGAUAGGACGUCCCCUUCGGGGGCAGAGUGACAGGUGGUGCAUGGUUGUCGUCAGCUCGUGUCGUGAGAUGUUGGGUUAAGUCCCGCAACGAGCGCAACCCUUGAUCUUAGUUGCCAGCAUUCAGUUGGGCACUCU